GGUCAAGUGAAUAAGUGCAUCAGGCGGAUGCCUUGGCGAUGAUAGGCGACGAAGGACGUGUAAGCCUGCGAAAAGCGCGGGGGAGCUGGCAAUAAAGCUGUGAUUCCGCGAUGUCCGAAUGGGGAAACCCACUGCAUUCUGUGCAGUAUCCUAAGUUGAAUACAUAGGCUUAGAGAAGCGAACCCGGAGAACUGAACCAUCUAAGUACCCGGAGGAAAAGAAAUCAACCGAGAUUCCGCAAGUAGUGGCGAGCGAACGCGGAGGAGCCUGUACGUAAUAACUGUCGAGAUAGAAGAACAAGCUGGGAAGCUUGACCAUAGCGGGUGACAGUCCCGUAUUCGAAAUCUCAACAGCGGUACUAAGCGUACGAAAAGUAGGGCGGGACACGUGAAAUCCUGUCUGAAUAUGGGGGGACCAUCCUCCAAGGCUAAAUACUCAUCAUCGACCGAUAGUGAACCAGUACCGUGAGGGAAAGGCGAAAAGAACCCCGGGAGGGGAGUGAAACAGAACCUGAAACCUGAUGCAUACAAACAGUGGGAGCGCCCUAGUGGUGUGACUGCGUACCUUUUGUAUAAUGGGUCAACGACUUACAUUCAGUAGCGAGCUUAACCGGAUAGGGGAGGCGUAGGGAAACCGAGUCUUAAUAGGGCGAUGAGUUGCUGGGUGUAGACCCGAAACCGAGUGAUCUAUCCAUGGCCAGGUUGAAGGUGCCGUAACAGGUACUGGAGGACCGAACCCACGCAUGUUGCAAAAUGCGGGGAUGAGCUGUGGGUAGGGGUGAAAGGCUAAACAAACUCGGAGAUAGCUGGUUCUCCCCGAAAACUAUUUAGGUAGUGCCUCGAGCAAGACACUGAUGGGGGUAAAGCACUGUUAUGGCUAGGGGGUUAUUGCAACUUACCAACCCAUGGCAAACUCAGAAUACCAUCAAGUGGUUCCUCGGGAGACAGACAGCGGGUGCUAACGUCCGUUGUCAAGAGGGAAACAACCCAGACCGCCGGCUAAGGUCCCAAAUGAUAGAUUAAGUGGUAAACGAAGUGGGAAGGCACAGACAGCCAGGAUGUUGGCUUAGAAGCAGCCAUCAUUUAAAGAAAGCGUAAUAGCUCACUGGUCGAGUCGUCCUGCGCGGAAGAUGUAACGGGGCUCAAAUCUAUAACCGAAGCUGCGGAUGCCGGUUUACCGGCAUGGUAGGGGAGCGUUCUGUAGGCUGAUGAAGGUGCAUUGUAAAGUGUGCUGGAGGUAUCAGAAGUGCGAAUGUUGACAUGAGUAGCGAUAAAGCGGGUGAAAAGCCCGCUCGCCGAAAGCCCAAGGUUUCCUACGCAACGUUCAUCGGCGUAGGGUGAGUCGGCCCCUAAGGCGAGGCAGAAAUGCGUAGUCGAUGGGAAACAGGUUAAUAUUCCUGUACUUGAUUCAAAUGCGAUGUGGGGACGGAGAAGGUUAGGUUGGCAAGCUGUUGGAAUAGCUUGUUUAAGCCGGUAGGUGGAAGACUUAGGCAAAUCCGGGUUUUCUUAACACCGAGAAGUGAUGACGAGUGUCUACGGACACGAAGCAACCGAUACCACGCUUCCAGGAAAAGCCACUAAGCUUCAGUUUGAAUCGAACCGUACCGCAAACCGACACAGGUGGGCAGGAUGAGAAUUCUAAGGCGCUUGAGAGAACUCGGGAGAAGGAACUCGGCAAAUUGAUACCGUAACUUCGGGAGAAGGUAUGCCCUCUAAGGUUAAGGACUUGCUCCGUAAGCCCCGGAGGGUCGCAGAGAAUAGGUGGCUGCGACUGUUUAUUAAAAACACAGCACUCUGCCAACACGAAAGUGGACGUAUAGGGUGUGACGCCUGCCCGGUGCCGGAAGGUUAAUUGAAGAUGUGCAAGCAUCGGAUCGAAGCCCCGGUAAACGGCGGCCGUAACUAUAACGGUCCUAAGGUAGCGAAAUUCCUUGUCGGGUAAGUUCCGACCCGCACGAAUGGCGUAACGAUGGCCACACUGUCUCCUCCCGAGACUCAGCGAAGUUGAAGUGGUUGUGAAGAUGCAAUCUACCCGCUGCUAGACGGAAAGACCCCGUGAACCUUUACUGUAGCUUUGCAUUGGACUUUGAAGUCACUUGUGUAGGAUAGGUGGGAGGCUUGGAAGCAGAGACGCCAGUCUCUGUGGAGUCGUCCUUGAAAUACCACCCUGGUGUCUUUGAGGUUCUAACCCAGACCCGUCAUCCGGGUCGGGGACCGUGCAUGGUAGGCAGUUUGACUGGGGCGGUCUCCUCCCAAAGCGUAACGGAGGAGUUCGAAGGUUACCUAGGUCCGGUCGGAAAUCGGACUGAUAGUGCAAUGGCAAAAGGUAGCUUAACUGCGAGACCGACAAGUCGGGCAGGUGCGAAAGCAGGACAUAGUGAUCCGGUGGUUCUGUAUGGAAGGGCCAUCGCUCAACGGAUAAAAGGUACUCCGGGGAUAACAGGCUGAUUCCGCCCAAGAGUUCAUAUCGACGGCGGAGUUUGGCACCUCGAUGUCGGCUCAUCACAUCCUGGGGCUGUAGUCGGUCCCAAGGGUAUGGCUGUUCGCCAUUUAAAGUGGUACGUGAGCUGGGUUUAAAACGUCGUGAGACAGUUUGGUCCCUAUCUGCAGUGGGCGUUGGAAGUUUGACGGGGGCUGCUCCUAGUACGAGAGGACCGGAGUGGACGAACCUCUGGUGUACCGGUUGUAACGCCAGUUGCAUAGCCGGGUAGCUAAGUUCGGAAGAGAUAAGCGCUGAAAGCAUCUAAGCGCGAAACUCGCCUGAAGAUGAGACUUCCCUUGCGGUUUAACCGCACUAAAGGGUCGUUCGAGACCAGGACGUUGAUAGGUGGGGUGUGGAAGCGCGGUAACGCGUGAAGCUAACCCAUACUAAUUGCCCGUGAGGCUUGACUCU
rnacentral:rRNA from 1 species